AUUGAACGCUGGCGGCAUGCCUUACACAUGCAAGUCGAACGGCAGCACGGGAGCAAUCCUGGUGGCGAGUGGCGAACGGGUGAGUAAUAUAUCGGAACGUGCCCAGUCGUGGGGGAUAACGUAGCGAAAGCUACGCUACUACCGCAUACGAUCUAUGGAUGAAAGCGGGGGAUCGCAAGACCACGCGCGAUUGGAGCGGCCGAUAUCAGAUUAGGUAGUUGGUGGGGUAAAGGCUCACCAAGCCGACGAUCUGUAGCUGGUCUGAGAGGACGACCAGCCACACUGGGACUGAGACACGGCCCAGACUCCUACGGGAGGCAGCAGUGGGGAAUUUUGGACAAUGGGCGCAAGCCUGAUCCAGCAAUGCCGCGUGCAGGAUGAAGGCCUUCGGGUUGUAAACUGCUUUUGUACGGAGCGAAGAGGCUCUCUCUAAUACAGGGGGCUCAUGACGGUACCGUAAGAAUAAGCACCGGCUAACUACGUGCCAGCAGCCGCAGUAAUAC
rnacentral:rRNA from 1 species